rnacentral:lncRNA from 1 species
CCGAUUUGUUUUUUUAAAAUUCGAAAUGAGGAAAUACAGCCGAAACCAAGCCAUUUCCCUAAACCAAGCCAAUUCAAAGCAACAGCAAGGCAGCAAAUUCAAAUGAGGCUAAUCAGCAAAUUCAGCUGAAAUUCAUACGGAUCAAGAAAAUCGUGAAAUCAAUUCCAAUUCAAUGAGACAAUGACCAAAUUCAAAGCAGCAAAUUCAACAUUAACAUAGAAAAUCUGUAUUUAAAAAAAAAAAAAGAAGAAGAAGAAGAAGAAGAGAAGGCGUAGAAGAAGUGGCGUUGUCGGAGCUCCACUGGCGGCAUGGCUGCUG